UACGGGAGCAGCAGUGGGGAAUAUUGCACAAUGGGCGCAAGCCUGAUGCAGCCAUGCCGCGUGUAUGAAAAAGGCCUUCGGGUUGUAAAGUACUUUCAGUCGUGAGGAAGGUGUUAAGGUUAAUAACCUUAGCAAUUGACGUUAGCGACAGAAGAAGCACCGGCUAACUCCGUGCCAGCAGCCGCGGUAAUACGGAGGGUGCGAGCGUUAAUCGGAAUUACUGGGCGUAAAGGGCACGCAGGCGGUUAAUUAAGUUGGAUGUGAAAUCCCCGGGCUUAACCUGGGAAUGGCAUUCAAGACUGGUUAGCUAGAGUCUUGUAGAGGGGGUAGAAUUCCAUGUGUAGCGGUGAAAUGCGUAGAGAUGUGGAGGAAUACCGGUGGCGAAGGCGGCCCCUGGACAAAGACUGACGCUCAUGUGCGAAAGCGUGGGGAGCAAACAGGGAUUAGAUACC
rnacentral:rRNA from 1 species